AUAUAUAAAUUAAAUAGUCGGCCCCGGCAGCGAUAAAAAUGUCCGAGGGGAGCAGCCGCGACCGCCGUCGGCCCUGCAGUCCACUUGCCUCCGCCGGUCAGAUCUCCUCUACGAGAAUCACCUUCUUGCCUUCAGCCUCCGGUCGGUGUAAAAAGAACCCGAGAGGCCGAGAUAAAUCGAAUUUCCGAUGCUGAACUAUGAAUGCUUAUGGAUUUCUGGGAGAGUGCGCUAGCUAGAUGUGAAUGCUCGAUAUUGUUUAUAGUUAUCUUUAUUAGCUGGUUUUGUAUGUAAUUCUAGAUCUGAAAACCACCACUUGAUUUUUGUUAAUAUUAUCUGGAAGUGUUUUGACUAAGGUUAUCCCGGGGUUAUAUAAUUGUGGAUUCAAAGUUAUUGAUAUGUAAUUAUAUCAGCUCUUGAGGAUUGAGGAUCACUUGGCUCAAAUUUUUAUAGAGUAAUUGGAUUUGUUAUUCAGGAAGCCUUGCGUGUCUGUGAGGUUCACCUUGCAGGCAUGCGGCGUCUGUUAUGCUCUGUUUUGGGGCAUGACAAUUGAUAUGAAGAUUGCACUAUGUGAUAAGAUAGAGGGUGAGCCUUGGCACAAUGAUAAGGUUGCUCCAUUGUGACCUAGAGGUUAUGGAUUUAAAACAUGAAAACAACCGCUCCGCACAUGGGGAUAAAAAUGCGUAUAUCUGACUCUCCCCAAACUCUACAAUGGCAGGAGCCUUUAUAUAGUAGGCUGCCCUCUGUUUUACAAACAUAUAAUCUACUCAACUUAGAAAAUAGUUAAAAAAGACAAACUUGUUAAAUUUUUAAAAUUUAUGAGAUCUCCAGAAAAAAGAAAAUGUUGAGUAUAGGGAUCACAAUCGAAUUUGUACAUAUUUAGUGCAAAGCAAAACAACUUCAACAUCCUCAACAAUCUUACAUUGGCUUCCCAUAUGGUUGUUGGCUACUGACAUGUCUCUAGAAGUCAGAUCCAUCCAAGCAUCAAAUUUUAGCAUAGAGCAACAUAGCUAAAAGGGAUCCAAAUAUACAUGAAGAUACAUGGUCUUGUUGGUUAGAAUGUAAUUUAAUGACUAAGUUUCAUAUUUUGUUUAACUUUUAAGCAUACAAUAUCUUUUUUGGACUGGCUUGCAUAUUUUUGUAUACUCAAUUAUGCACAUACUUCCCCCACACUUAUGUUUGUCUGAUACGAACUUAUGUCUUAUCUUAUCCACAAUCCAAGUACCAAGUGUUAAAUAGCCGUAAAAACAAUGCAUAGAAGUGGAUUAGUGGUGAAUUGAGAAAAAACAGAGACUCAAAAUCAAAAUGCCUGUCAAGUCAUCACCAUUCAUUAAAUCUCUGCAAUAAACCAUAUGCAUUCACCUAUGUUGCUAGGCCAAUGAUAACAUCCUGACCCUCAAUCCCACUUCCUUCUCUCAAUAUCACAUGCUCUUCCCUAUGCAAAACUCCAAGUAUCUGGAAUAGAAUUGGAUAGGAAGUGCUCCAAACCUUGUAAUAUCAAUAAAUAAGAAAAUUGAUCUCCAUAUUGUGUCAUAUAAAUUAGUUUUAGAGGUACAAGAUCUGCCUACUCCUAUAAAUUCAGAUAUGUUUACCAUGGAGAGAAUGAAGUUGUAGGUUCUUUGCAUAAAGGCAAACAUCCAUUGCAAACAAAAACACUGGAAUGCACAAAUCUGCCUUAUAAAUUGUCCAAGAAAGUUAAAUCACAUCAUAUCAACACUUUAUACUUACUAACAUGACCGGCAUUUUUCUUGUCUAUAGUUUUCAACAAUUACUGAGUGCAAAUUUUAUUUUUUUGUUGGUCGACAAGGUCGAGUUCGUUUGGUGUUUUCAGAACAUAUCUUCAUACCAAUGACAUUAGUUGAUUUUUGACUUUUAAUAAAAAUUAAUUUUGUGGGAGCUAACUUUUGAAGAAAUGCUAGUCUUAACAUAUUGAUUGGUUAUCUCUUGUCUGGCUGCUUGAGCUUCAAAAUUGUUGCAUGCACCCAAGGUUUGUCGUACCGACCUGUAUCCCAUCCGGUAAAUUACCAGUAUGAUACUGAGGUUUGGUUCUGUAUAUGCGAUGAACCAGUUUGUACCGGUCCGAACUAAAUAGAAUAGAACUGCAGCAGCUAUUUUUGCAGCUAAUGACUGAAUCAAUGUAUAAAUAAAACUAAAAGUAGCUUCAGUUAAUAACUAUUUGAGCCUUCAACGUGUUGAAAGCUAGCUAAUAUAUUUUUGUGAUCUGCAUAGCUUGAUAGAGUCAUAUACUAAAACCACCAUUGAAGCUGGUCAGCACAUAGAAAAGGUUGUCUCCCUUUGUUUUCUUGAUAUUUUUAUUGCCUGACUGAUCUGUAGUUUCCAGGUGUCUUACCUUUUCAGUUGUGGAGAUAUGCUAGGAUUAUGAAAACAUAGCUUGAUGCUUGAACCUUGUUUCUACCAAUUCUUGCAAUUGCACCCUCAUGUGAUGCCGGUCACAUUGGAUUGUUGAAUAAUUCCAUCCUAGAUUUGCGAUAUGUUGGGAGAUGAUUGUACUAUUUUUGAAAUCAUAGCUGUUCUUUUACUCUCAUGACAGUGGUCUCGCAAACUGCUUCAUUGUGAUAGUUGGAAAAUUUUGUGCAUUAAUUCUAAUGUCAGUUGCUGGUUUCGUGCCAAUGAUUGUAGUUGUUGACUUUGUCCAUGCUUUUUAAUCUGGGAUUGUUUAUCAAUUAAAAUGUAUUGGACUAAUGUAUGUUCUAGUGUUUCAAGGAUAGAAAUGGAGUGCUAAUAUGUUUUCUUAUGCAGGGCUUAGGCUGUCAGGUUCCAGUAUCUGUUUUGCAAGUAUGUAAAGUGCCAGAUUAGGUUAGUUUAUAAACGUGGACAUAAUUAAUUGAAGGAGAGUUGAGAUCAUUUUAUAAGUAUGUUGAAUAUACUGCUAUUGGUUUACUCUGCAAAACUGUACAUAUCACUAUAUCUAUGUUAAAGUAGUCUGGUUGUAUAUUCUUUGCUGUUCUCACUUGAAGACUAUCUGCCAUGCUUCAGUUGGCAGAAUCUAGUAUAGAUCAUUUUUGAAGCAUCUGUGUUCCAUCAAGGCAUUUGUAUGAAGUCAGUCCUCUAAAUGCUAGUGGUGGAUCACUUGUUUCAAAUUCUUCCAAUGCCUUGUAUCGUGAUAUAGUGCAUUGUUAACCUUUAUUUCUGGUUAGAUUUUGUUGCAGAAAAUUUCUGAAUUGCCAUCUCAGUUUACAUUCCUGUACUAUUGUUCAAGUCCAUAGCGCAGGGAGUUUGAUUAGAAGGUGUACUAAAUUUAAAACUAAUUCCAUCACCUCAGCUAGUUUUGGGCUACCAAUGGUGGACUCAUCAAUCCAUUAUAUAUAUUGGAUAAAUCUUGUCAUGGGCUCAUAGCUUUUGGUACCUGAUAUGUUAUGCUUAACCAAUGUGUCAUUUCAUGUGACUAUAUUCAAAUGUGCAUUUGAUCCAUACAUUUACAUGAUCAUUCUGGUGGAACAUAGCAUCAUUUCUAAUGUUGAAUUACUGUUUUGUUCAUAUUGUUUUGACAAGAGCUGGUAAUUUAAUCAGGGAACAUAUGCUGUUGCCUCUUUUUUUAACUAUUCAUUUUGCUGAACCUUAAGUUUAUUUGGCUCGGAAGAUUUAUAAGAAGAGGGUGAAGAAGCGACCAUGAUCAAAGAUCUCUUAACUGUUUUUUAACCUUAGAAUGGUCAUUACCUAGCUUAAGUGCAAUUUCAGCUCAAUUAGGUUAGAGGGAUAGAAUGAAGUGGCUGUGUGAUGUAGACAAAUCAAGGACAAAGUAUGGUGGGGAUUGGGGAAUUUAAGUGACACCCAACAAAAGGUAGUGGUGGAGGCAAGCAAAUAGGAGAGAAUAUUUGACCUCAAAAGAAGUAUAAUUGUAUAAGAUUAGAGGUCAGAAAAUUAGCAACAUGCAUAAUAAAUGGCAUGCGGUGCAACUUCGAAAAAAAUAUUUGAGUCCAACUCAAUAUAAAAAUUUUAAGCUAUGUUCAAAUCAAAA